rnacentral:rRNA from 1 species
GAAUUCAUUAUUUUAAUUUUAAUUUAUUCAUAAAAUAUAAAUUGAUUAUUUUAAUUAAUAAGUUUAAUUUAAAAUUUUACAUAUUAAAUAAAAUAAUCAUUUAUAUUUGAAUAAAUUUCAAAAUUUAAUUUCAAAGAAUUUUUAAAAUUAUUAUAAUAUUAUUUAAAAAUUUAUUUUUUUAAAUAAUUAAAUUUUAAUUUUAAUAUAAAUUAAAAAAAAUAAAUAAUCUUAAAUAAUUACCUUUAUCAUUAACUAUUAAAUAAUUUAUUUAUUUUUAUUAAUUGUAUUUUUAUAUUUAAUUAAAAUACAUUUUGUAAUAAUAGCAUAAUACCAAAAAUAAUUGUAAAAAAUAGAUAAUUAAUUAAUUUAUUAAUUAAUUAUAAUAAUUUUUAACCAUUUCCCAGUAUUAAUAGUGGCCAUAAAUACAAAAUUAAAAUUAGAAUUAACAAUAUAAAAAAUCUAAGUGCAAAUGUUAAAUAAGAUAACUGGUCGUGGUCCCAUAACAGUUCAAUUAUUUAAGCCUCUGGCUAUAGGAAAUUGUUAGUGGCAGACGGGUGAGUAAUGCGUAGGAAUCUACCUAGUAGUACGGAAUAGCCAUUAGAAAUGGUGGGUAAUACUGUAUAAUCCCCGAGGGGGAAAGAUUUAUCGCUAUUAGAUGAGCCUACGUUAGAUUAGCUAGUUGGUGAGGUAAUGGCUUACCAAGGCUAUGAUCUAUAGCUGGUCUGAGAGGACGAUCAGCCACACUGGAACUGAGAUACGGUCCAGACUCCUACGGGAGGCAGCAGUGGGGAAUAUUGGACAAUGGGCGAAAGCCUGAUCCAGCUAUGCCGCGUGAGUGAAGAAGGCCUUCGGGUUUACUUCAACCGA